UAGGCUUAAGAUGUAUGUUGUCUUAGAACCGGGGGAGCCUUGUCUUACUGGCUGAUUCAGUUGUAGACUGCACUAUUGUUGACUAGUGUGAAACAAACGUGAGUGUAAAACUAAGCUGAAGGCAUUUUGCUGGUAGAUGGACUGGUCCUGUGAUGAGAGCACUAUUUGGUCCAUCUCACUGUUCUUGUUUCACAGUGGCUAAACAGAGUAGGUCACCAAGCCUACUAACCCUCACGUUUUGAACCCCCAACAUUGGUUUUGAUUGGAGAAAAAAGGGGGAAUAACACGGCUUGAUGUCACCAUGAGCUUUGGUUAGUUAGUGAUCACUAUAACUUUACUGUUGACUUCUAGGUGUUUUAUAGGAAUCUGACUGCGCUCCCUGUCAAAGCUGCUUUCUGUCCAAAUGUGAAGCACCCUCUUUAACCUUCUAUACAGUACAUCCAAAUACCACUGUCAUGACUUGUAGGGUUGUAAAGGAAGGAAGUAUUUUCCUUAAACAACAUGAGUGCUACAUUUUAUCCAUGUCAAAAUGAGUUUGGCUUGCAAUAGUCCUCAUUUCAGACAGGCCAUUUCCAUUCCCCAGAAAGUUGGCAAUACCCAGACAGUCAUUAAGAAAAUGUUUUUGAAAAUUAUUUUAUUUGGAAACUUAUCUAAUACUUUUUCAAUUUCUGCUGAUUCCGAUCACCCCAUUCCAGCAUUUUCUCUCCUCCAGCUUGUAUAUUUAGGCUUCACCCUCGCCCUUGCCGAUAGUGGUGGUAGUUUGGUCAGGUUUGUCAAUUUGUAGCUAGCUGAGUACACUGUCACUGUGUACAUACACUGGACCAACUACUUGUUUACCAUUCAUGGAAUACCAGCAAAGAACACUGGCACAAUGUUCAAAGAAUCAAGUCAGCUGUUUUUAAACUCAAUAAUACAAAUUUAAGGGACAAUGGUAGAAGAUGGAUUCCAGUGGCAGAAGAUUGUUGCAGCCUGAUGUCCCAACUGGAUGGAGGACCACGAAGUAGCUAAGUACCCUCCUGUUCCCUGAUUUAAGAGGUGAUGACCACUGCACUACCUUUGUCAACUUUCUCCUGACAUGAACUGAAGCUGCGUCUCAUGUGCCCGCUCGUCCACUGGC